AUACAAGUCCAUAUUGGCCCCCUGCCUGUUCUACGGCCUGCAGGCGAAGACCUUAAGAAGAAUUUCGGGGGCUCCUUGGUAUAUGAGAACAAGAGACAUCGAACGAGUUACGAGUGCCUCCGUUGGAUCGGGGGUCCUCCUUUCUCUACUCUUAGUUAGUUGCUGCCCAGGCUGAUGUGAUGGGAGUCAAUAAUGACUUUAUUGUGUACUUAUGAUAUAUGUAGGUUAUAUAUAUUUGCCACUUUAAAUAAAUCAACUGCUCGGUUUGGUGUCAAGAUCAA